UCUCCUCUUGUCCCCUCCCAG
rnacentral:miRNA from 1 species